rnacentral:lncRNA from 1 species
AUUUUUGGGCAAAUCUCCAAAAUAGCACAUUUCUAAGUUUAUAUCACAAAAAUAGCACUCAAAAACUAAAAUGACCAAAAUAACACCUUUCUAAGUUUAUCCUUUGACAAUUUUAAUUUUUUUUAUUUUUCAAAAUUUGAAAUCUUAUCCCCAAAACCUCAUUUCUCAACUCUAAACCCUAAACCCUAAACCUUAAACCCUAAACUCUAAACCCUAAACCCUAAACCCUAAACUCUAAACCCUAAACCCUAGACCCUAAAUCCUAAAC